rnacentral:rRNA from 1 species
GUGAACGCUGGCGGUAGGCCUAACACAUGCAAGUCGAACGGCAGCACAGUAAGAGCUUGCUCUUACGGGUGGCGAGUGGCGGACGGGUGAGGAAUACAUCGGAAUCUACUUUUUCGUGGGGGAUAACGUAGGGAAACUUACGCUAAUACCGCAUACGACCUACGGGUGAAAGCAGGGGAUCUUCGGACCUUGCGCGAUUGAAUGAGCCGAUGUCGGAUUAGCUAGUUGGCGGGGUAAAGGCCCACCAAGGCGACGAUCCGUAGCUGGUCUGAGAGGAUGAUCCGGCAAACUGGAACUGGGAAACGGUCCAGACUCCUUAGGGAGGGCGCAGUGGGGAAUUUUGGGACAUGGGGCGAAGCCCUAUCCCACCAAUCCGGCUGGGGUAAAGAGGGCUUCCGGUUGGUAAGGCCUUUUUGUGGGAAAGAAAAGCAGCAGGUUAAUACCCCGCUGUUCUGACGGUACCCAAAGAAUAAGCACCGGCUAACUUCGUG